AUUGAACGCUGGCGGAAUGCUUUACACAUGCAAGUCGAACGGCAGCACGGGGGCAACCCUGGUGGCGAGUGGCGAACGGGUGAGUAAUACAUCGGAACGUGCCCAAUCGUGGGGGAUAACGUAGCGAAAGCUACGCUAAUACCGCAUACGAUCUACGGAUGAAAGCGGGGGAUCGCAAGACCUCGCGCGAAUGGAGCGGCCGAUGGCAGAUUAGGUAGUUGGUGGGGUAAAGGCUCACCAAGCCAACGAUCUGUAGCUGGUCUGAGAGGACGACCAGCCACACUGGGACUGAGACACGGCCCAGACUCCUACGGGAGGCAGCAGUGGGGAAUUUUGGACAAUGGGCGAAAGCCUGAUCCAGCCAUUCCGCGUGCAGGAUGAAAGGCCUUCGGGUUGUAAACUG
rnacentral:rRNA from 1 species